ACUCAAAUGAAUUGACGGGGGCCCGCACAAGCAGUGGAGUAUGUGGUUUAAUUCGACGCAACGCGAAGAACCUUACCAAGGCUUGACAUACAUUUGAAUACAUGGGAAACCAUGUAGUCCUUCGGGACAAAUGAACAGGUGAUGCAUGGUUGUCGUCAGCUCGUGUCGUGAGAUGUUGGGUUAAGUCCCGCAACGAGCGCAACCCUCGUGACUAGUUGCUGCGAAGAGCAGAACUCUAGUCAGACUGCCGUAGUUAAUACGGAGGAAGGUGAGGAUGACGUCAAAUCAUCAUGUCCCUUAUGUCUUGGGCUACACACGUACUACAAUGACUACUACAGAGAGAAGCAAUAUCGCGAGAUGGAGCAAAACUGAUAAAAGUAGUCCUAGUUCGGAUUGCAGGCUGAAACUCGCCUGCAUGAAGCUGGAAUUGCUAGUAAUCACAGGUCAGCAUACUGUGGUGAAUACGUUCCCGGGCCUUGUACACACCGCCCGU
rnacentral:rRNA from 1 species